AUUGAACGCUGGCGGCAGGCUUAACACAUGCAAGUCGAGCGAGCGGCGGACGGGUGAGUAAUGUCUGGGAAACUGCCUGAUGGAGGGGGAUAACUACUGGAAACGGUAGCUAAUACCGCAUACCAUCAGAUGUGCCCAGAUGGGCUUAGCUAGUAGGGGGGGAAAUGGCUCACCUAGGCGGCGAUCCCUAGCUGGUCUGAGAGGAUGACCAUCCACACGGGAACUGCGACACGGUCCAGACUCCUACGGGAGGCAGCAGUGGGGAAUAUUGCACAAUGGGUGCAAGCCUGAUGCAGCCAUGCCCCGUGUAUGAAGAAGGCCUUCGGGUUGUAAAGUACUUUCAGCGGGGAGGCGUUACCCGCAGAAGAAGCACCGGCUAACUCCGUGCCAGCAGCCGCGGUAAUUC
rnacentral:rRNA from 1 species